UCUGGAUCUGGCUGUUCCGCAAGUAAAAUCCCCCCUGUAGAUCCCAUGGCCUAUCUUGAUGGCCGGAAUUGCAGAAUCCUUCAUCUGCAUGGCUCAAGGAAGGAUAGCCUUUUUGUACCGAAGUGACACCGAAGCCUUCCACUACCCUUGCCAGAAAUUUGUCCCGAAGUGUUUACAUAAUGAUGACAACGGAUUAUUGCAGCCCAUGUCAACUGACGCAUUUCAUGUCUCUGAAUCGAUGCAAACAUCGUGUUCGUUGCAUCAACAGAACUGCUCACAUGUCCUUGAUACAUUUUCAAGAAAUUUUUAUUUGGAUGUAAAAUGUCUGUCAGCCAACAUUUCAGCGGUAUCUAUCCGUCUUCCUUGGGGCUUAAGAUAUUGCUGAAGCGUUGGCUGAUAGUCACUUUACUACCAAAUAAAAACUGCUUGAAAAUAUAUCAAGGACAUAGGAGCUGCUCUCUUGAGGUAUGUGACGUGAUGUUUAUGCCCAUUUUUAUAGAUGUUAAACCAGUUUCUAUGAGGGGGCACUAUUAAGAAUUCAACAUCCUGGUAACUAUGUUUUGAAGGGAAUAAAUGGACUGUGCAUCU